rnacentral:rRNA from 1 species
AGAGUUUGAUCAUGGCUCAGAACGAACGCUGGCGGCACGCUUAACACAUGCAAGUCGAACGAAGCUUCUACUUCGGUAGAAUGACUGAGUGGCGGACGGGUGAGUAACGCGUGGGUAUCUGCCUUUUGGUGGGGGAUAACUGGGGGAAACUCCAGCUAAUACCGCAUACGCCCUUCGGGGGAAAGAAUUUAUUCGCCAUAAGAGGAGCCCGCGUAAGAUUAGGUAGUUGGUGGGGUAAAGGCCUACCAAGCCGAUGAUCUUUAGCUGGUUUGAGAGGAUGAUCAGCCACACUGGGACUGAGACACGGCCCAGACUCCUACGGGAGGCAGCAGUGGGGAAUCUUGGACAAUGGGGGAAACCCUGACGCAGCCACGCCGCGUGGGUGAAGAAGGCCUUCGGGUCGUAAAGCCCUGUCAGGUGGGAAGAAACGCAUUGGACUGAAUAAGUCCGUUGCCUGACGGUACCACCAAAGGAAGCACCGGCUAACUCCGUGCCAGCAGCCGCGGUAAUACGGAGGGUGCAAGCGUUGUUCGGAAUUACUGGGCGUAAAGCGUGUGUAGGCGGCUUGGUAAGUCAGAUGUGAAAUCCCUUGGCUCAACUGAGGAAGUGCAUCUGAUACUGUCAAGCUUGAGUCCUGGAGAGGGGUGUGGAAUUCCCGGUGUAGAGGUGAAAUUCGUAGAUAUCGGGAGGAACACCAGUGGCGAAGGCGACACCCUGGAUGGAGACUGACGCUGAGACACGAAAGCGUGGGGAGCAAACAGGAUUAGAUACCCUAGUAGUCC